AGGAUUUUGUGGUGUGGGAUGUUCAGCUCUGCCCGUUUGUCCGACAGCAUCUUGCCCCCCUUGAUGCUCUGGUGGAAGUAGCCUGCCACAUUCCUGCAUUUCGAAAUGAGCUUGCUUGUGGUGCUGGCUCCAUCACUGGCAGCCCUGUCCCCCUCCAAGGCAUCCCUGACAAUGAGGUGGAACUUGUGUGCCA